GGCUAGGACAAUGGUGAGCUCGUGAAGCGUGUCAGAUCUGGAAGGAAGCAGCACUAAGCUUGCCUCACCAUGUGUCUGAAAUUUA
rnacentral:SRP_RNA from 1 species